GCCCAGACUCCUACGGGAGGCAGCAGUGAGGAAUAUUGGUCAAUGGGCGAGAGCCUGAACCAGCCAAGUCGCGUGAGGGAAUAAGGCCCUACGGGUCGUAAACCUCUUUUGCCGGGGAGCAAGGGCGGGGACGUGUCCCGGCCCGGAGAGUACCCGGAGAAAAAGCAUCGGCUAACUCCGUGCCAGCAGCCGCGGUAAUACGGAGGAUGCGAGCGUUAUCCGGAUUUAUUGGGUUUAAGGGGUGCGCAGGCGGAAUGUCAAGUCAGCGGUAAAAUUUCGGGGCUCAACCCCGUCGUGCCGUUGAAACUGGCGUUCUUGAGUGAGCGAGAAGUAUGCGGAAUGCGUGGUGUAGCGGUGAAAUGCAUAGAUAUCACGCAGAACUCCGAUUGCGAAGGCAGCAUACCGGCGCUCAACUGACGCUCAUGCACGAAAGCGUGGGUAUCGAACAGGAUUAGAUACCCGGGUACCG
rnacentral:rRNA from 1 species